rnacentral:rRNA from 1 species
GUGGGGAAUAUUGGACAUUGGGCGAAAGCCUGAUCCAGCCAUGCCGCGUGUGUGAAGAAGGUCUUCGGAUUGUAAAGCACUUUAAGUUGGGAGGAAGGGCAGUAAGUUAAUACCUUGCUGUUUUGACGUUACCGACAGAAUAAGCACCGGCUAACUUCGUGCCAGCAGCCGCGGUAAUACGAAGGGUGCAAGCGUUAAUCGGAAUUACUGGGCGUAAAGCGCGCGUAGGUGGUUUUGUAAGUUGGAGGUGAAAUCCCCGGGCUCAACCUGGGAACUGCCACCAAAACUGCAUGACUAGAGUACGGUAGAGGGUAGUGGAAUUUCCUGUGUAGCGGUGAAAUGCGUAGAUAUAGGAAGGAACACCAGUGGCGAAGGCGACUACCUGGACUGAUACUGACACUGAGGUGCGAAAGCGUGGGGAGCAAACAGGAUUAGAAACCCGAGUAGUCC